UCAGCCAGAUGUACCUUCUUUCCUCAAACCAGUUGGUGCGAUACGAGUCAAAGAAAAGUUGAAUUCUCAAAAAGAGCACAUAACAUACAAUCUUGACCAAGGGCGUUUAUCGCUAGAGAGGAUUCGGGGAAGGGUCCGACCACAAGGGUCUAGUACGCAGCCUUAGCUUACAUUUCUGUCAGAGGUUGUUUCCAAAACUUCAACCCGUGACCUCAUGAUCACAUAACAACAACUUUACCAGUUGCUCCAAGGCUCCCUUCCUGUGCAUCAGUGAAAUUCCAACUUAAUUGGAGCCCGAUCAUUUCGCUCGUAUGGCCCUGUCCACAUUUAAUCCCCACCCUGCUCGGUGUUUAGCACUAUUGCAAAUGUAAAGUCAUUGCCAAAACCGGGUGUAACUACAAAACCUCAACUGAUUUUGGGAUGGAAGUAGCGGUCAUUUUUUUGGUUUCUCUUUCAACGAGAGCUGAAAUUGUGAAUACAAUGGAGACAUCUAUAUAUGUGCUGUUUAGAUAGCUUGAAACCGAAAAUUGAAUUGAAGCCAGAAGGUGUUCUGGCUUGUUGUCAAUAUUAACACUUCGAGAGGAACAUACGUUUAUCUUCCAGGGAAGUUUUUUCUUGCUGACCUUGAAGUUUAGAAGUAGGUUUUCUGUAAUGACUUCCAAAUCAGGAGAUUCAACAACAAUCAAAAGAAAAUGAAAUGCUUUGAUAAAUUAUACAAUUCGUUACUGAAUCUCGUAUUCUGUUUUUUUUUUCCUUUUCACAAUCAUGUCAAGUGUUUUUGCAUGUAUCUCAUGGUCGCUUAAAUUGCAACUUGGGACAAGCUAAUUUAGCUUGUGUAUGUAUUGGCUAGAUUUUUCAGUGUGUUAUAUUUCAUCAUGGUCUGUAUUAUUUUCAGCUAAAAAAUAAAGAAAAUGAAACCUUUAUUUGGUGUUUAAGUUCAUUAACAAAUUGAACAUUAUAUAGUGACAAUGACACAAAAUAAGCACAAAUUAUUGUGCCACAUACUACUUACUAGAACCUUGCUUAUAGCUGAGAGGAAAAGUUGGGUCAACAGAAAAGGAAGAAACGUCAAUGAAAAAGAGAAAAAUACGAUAAAAUAAAGUAUGUAGCUGUAGGCUGUAGAAUAAAUACAGAAUGUCGAAAGAUUUUGAUCUUCUUACCAUAUAUAGAUAUAUAUAUUUUCCCCCAUCCAACCAAACAACCCCCCACCCCCCAAUCAAAGUGCCGUUUCCUUUUGUCCCUCCAUCUCCUUUCAUUAAUCCAAAAUUCCCAUAAACAAAACCUUCAUCUUGAGAGAGAGAGACACAGAGGGAUGGAUCCACCACAGGUAGAGGCCAUGGACAUCUCCAGCAAAAACUAUCCCCCAAUUGAAGAUGAGCAAGACAAAAUAGUAGACCAGUGUUGUUCUUGCUUUUAUGACUGCACAGAUAGCUUGUUGGAGUAUUUGUGCUGCUAUGAUUUCUGGUGUUCUUAGGGAUACACAUUACAUAAGUGCUCUGUAGUCGGGAACUUGUUAGAUGAACUAAUUAUGUUCUUUCACUUUUGGUUAGCAUUGCAUUAGUCCAUUUAGAUCAAAGUUAUUUAUCCUUCUUAUAUUGUAAUUAAAGAUCUAAUGAUAAUAUGAGAUAGUCCAUGUCUUCUUUA